AGACGGAGGGCGCAAGCGUUGUUCGGAAUUACUGGGCGUAAAGGGCAGGUAGGUGGUCUGUUAAGUCUUCUGUGAAAAUCCGGGGCUCAACCCCGCGAAAUGCAGGUGAAACUGGCAGACUGGAGACCGGUAGAGGCUAGCGGAAUUCCUGGUGUAGCGGUGGAAUGCGUAGAUAUCUGGAAGAACACCUGUGGCGAAGGCGGCUAGCUGGGCCGGUUCUGACACUAAACUGCGAAAGCGUGGGGAGCAAACAGGAUUAGAAACCCGAGUAGUCC
rnacentral:rRNA from 1 species